UUGAUUGACGGAAGUGGAGUUUUCUAUGACAUGAAGAAGCACCAAGAAUCCCAAAACGUUCUUUGCAAGUCAGAAGCAAAUACAAAAUGUAAGCAAGCAAAAUGUACGAGCGAGAUGAAUUUAGCAAAGGAAGGUUUUUGUUGCUCUACAAGGAAAGGAGAGGCACAUCCGAAGAUAAACAAAUCAGUAUAGAUAUUCCCGAAUAUGGAUCACGCGUGCUAGCUAUUGAAAAAUCCGAAUUCUUUUCCGUUUCUUUCUCGAUGCCCAAUCACGCGCCCCAAGCGAACAAAGGUUGUGUCUUUUCAGUAAAAAAGAGAGAUGCAAAUCUCUACAAAAGAAGGAACUUGCAUUUUGAGUAUGAGCUGAUGGGUGAGAGGGAGAGAGAGGAACUAAAAGUGAGUAUCAUGGAUGAUGUUGUGUAGGACCAGGUGGUGGUAGAUUCUGCAUCGGAGUGUCGAUGUGGCUAAAAAGGGCAACCCAAAAGGAACACCCUGACGGUGGCAAAUUGUAGGGGAGCUAGCAGUCUCCAUAUAUAAUUGUAUUUCCUAUUCAACUUGUAUUCUUCUUUAUUCCCAAUUAUUGUAAGAGACAGACAAGCAGCAAUCCGAAAGGCCAACCCUUGCGACUGGGCUUUCGGGUUCUGGAAAGAGGGAGGGCUCUCUGAUAUUUCUUUCCUAGAAACGUUUUCCCAUUGUAGCUUCGAUUUUCCAGGGAAACUUUGAAGCAGAUCUGAUAAGGCUUUUGCGUGUCUUUCUUGUAUUGCAUGACAUGGGUGGUUGUCUUGGAUGCUAUUCCAAGCCCCCGCUAACAAGAUCAGUGGAUGCACCAUCAAAAGGAUUGCAGAUUCAAGAUCAGAAGGUGAAGAAACCUAUCAUAUUAGAGGAUUUCUGGACGACCAGCACCUGGGAUAUGGACAACAGCACAAUUCAGUCACAAGGAAGCAUCUCAUCAAUUAGUACAACCAACCAAGUUCUGGAUCUGCAUGGCGUUGCUGGCAGUGCUAACACCCCUUCUGAAUUUGUAAAUCAUGGUCUUCUUCUCUGGAAUCAGACUAGGCAGCGUUGGGUAGGAAAUAAAAGAUCUGAGAUCAGGGGCCAACAGGCACGAGAACCCAAAUUAAGUUGGAAUGCAUCAUAUGAAAGUUUGCUUGGGAGCAACAAGCCCUUCUCACAUCCUAUACCGCUUGCUGAAAUGGUAGAUUUUCUUGUCGACAUCUGGGAGCAGGAGGGAUUAUAUGAUUGAGCAGCAGAAGUAUACAUUAAGUUUUUUAGAUAUAAAAAAUCCGCCGUUGCUGCAUUCAAGUUGCUUCCAUAGCAAGAGUGUGAUUUGAGCAAACUAGGGCUUGCCUACCAAUUGUAACAUCAACCGGCAUGUCAAUGCUGUGGCUUUUAUAAUCCAGGCUUUUUGACACGCUUGUAUUACGUUUAAUUCAGGAUAAGUUCAUGGGAAUCUCUUAAAAGGUUGUCUACACUUCCUUAAUUGCCACCAGCCCUCACCAGAGUUUUCAUGGUUUGCGUAGCUAACAUCCAGAUGGGUUCUGUUUCAUUCUUUCUCCAUUUAUUUUUCCUGACCAUCCUAAUUACCUUUCAGAACAAUGCCAGGUAAAAAGAAUCAUGGACAUGCUGCAUGCUUGAUCCCUGUCCACCAUUCGCUCACAUGUAGUCGGCUGCACAGAGCAUCAAUAAUAUUAAAGGGAAUUGCAUGGACGAAGACUAUAUGGGGUGCUGGGAAAGCAUUAUGGGAAAAGAUCGUAGUUUACAGUGAAGGACACGUACGUAUGCUGCUUUAAUGAAUAUCAUCAAUGGGAGAUGUAUUUAAUUGGUACAACUACAACAUGUAUAUAUGCCCGUCCUCAAUGGUACGUACCAGAGGUGGUCUGAUCAGCAUGGAUGCAUCGGAGUAUUCUAUGUAUGCAUUUAGAAUACAAAAAUGUUAGGUGUACAUUUUUUCACAAACAAAAAUACAAAACAAGUACUACAGUUCAUACUA